CCCAAGUUCACUGCAUCAACGUUUCCAAUUCUUUCAACUCUUUCUCAUAGGACAGGAUUUCAAAUUCCUGUCUUACCCUACUAAUUAAGUCCUUGACCUUGAAAAAUAUUUACAAUCUCGUAGGAGAAUUAAGAUUUAAGAUUAAGAAACUGAAUAAAGCCCAGAUGAAAUGACUUUAUAAUGAAGUAUUAAAUUCUGUGGCUCAGCCUGUAAAGGAGAAGACAGAUGAGGUUAGAGGGAAGAGGCCAGCGUCCCUGUGGCUUGGAGAACCCUGCUGGGCAGACCUGCCAUCCUGCCCCAGCCCCUUCUGCUCUUAGGCGGGCGGUUAAGGAGGCCUCAGAAGGCUUCACUGGCUGCACCUCCAAAUCCAUCUGGGGAGCCUCAGCCCAGCGGACCAGCCCUCCCCCACUUUGAUUUUCUUUAAUUUUUCAAUCCCAGGGAUGAAGAUGAUCUAUUUUUAGUUGAGCAAGCGAGGAGUUGCUAUAGCAACAGCUGGUGGUUACCAACCAGGACCUGCUAGAGCUCCCAGGCAGAAAUAAACCCCAAGCGCGGGGCUUAGAGAACAGAACUCGUCGCCCACGCACUGGGUCCUCGCCUGUGGUCUUCCCACUGCUUCUCAAUGAGCAAGUUCACAGGCUGAGCUUGGGUCCUUGCUGGCGGGGAAGCUGAUCGGCACAUGGGACCCUUCAGAGGAUCCUGGGGGACUCCCGGGGAGAGGCUACACCUCAAUGACCAGCCACCCCAUGGCAUAAGGCGUUCCUGGCCCAGGAAUCAGAUCUGAGCCACCGCUGGGACCUAUGCUGCAGCUGCAGCAAUACCAGAUCCUUUAACCUGCAGGGCUGGGCUAGGGAUGGAACCUGUGACCUUGGCGCAGUAAAGAUGCUGCCGAACCCACUGAACCACAGCAGGAAUUCCUGUAAAUACAUAUAUAUUUUUAAAUAGCCCUGUUGGAAGAGUCCAGGUUUCACAACCUUCCCCCAAGCUCAACAUGGUGGUCCCAAAGUCAGCGGCCCCAAAGAUGGGUGAGAAGUUUGCCUUUUUUUUUUUUUUUUUUGGCUCUUUGCCAUUUCUUGGGCCGCUCCCGCGGCACAUGGAGGUUCCCAGGCUAGGGGCCGAAUCAGAGCUGUGGCCACCAGCCUAUGCCAGAGCCACAGCAACGUGGGAUCUGAGCCACGCCUGCAACCUACACCACAGCUCAUGGCAACGCCGGAUCCUUAACCCACUGGGGAAGGCCAGGGAUCGAACCCACAACCUCAUGGUUCCUAGUCAGAUUUGUUAACCACGGAGCCACGAAGGGAACUCCAGAAAUUUGCCUUUUACCUUCAUCUGAGAUAGUGUCUCCAUCUCCAUCCAUGGUGGGAUCACCUCAAACUGAGUCAUCGUUUGAAAUCCACAGAAAGGGACACAGCAAUGUGAAGAAAGUGACCUACUUGUAUAAAGCAUCCGCCGGCCUAGUUUUUUUAAGUCUAAAUUUAGAACAUCAGCAUUUUCUUAAAGUAAGCCUGCUGGUGGUAUUGUGAACACACAGCUCUAGGGAAUAUGGAGCAGGACAAAGUCAGUGGGAGGACCUCAGAGACAGGAUCCUUGUCCCAGUCUGGGCAGCCCUCACCCACCUCUGUAUCUUCAGUCUGAAGGAGUCACCUACACUCAGGAGGCACGCAUAGUUCACCUGCUCAGUGCUCAAGUAACUGCUGAGUGCCUGCGAGGCACUGAGCUCUAGGUUAGGCUAGAUCAGUUUGUCCCCAUUUAACAGAAAAGUCCAGGAGUUCCUGUUGUGGCGCAGAGGAAACCAAUCUGACUAGUAUCCAUGAGGAUGCAGGUUCAAUCCCUGCCCUCACUCAGUGAGUUGGGGAUCUGGCAUUGCCGUGAGCUGUGAUGUAGGUCACAGACGAGGCUCGGAUCCCGCGUUGCUGUGGCUGUGGUGUAGGCUGGCAACGGUAGCUCUGAUUCCACUCCUGGCCUGGGAACUUCCAUAUUCCAUGGCUGCGGCUCUAAAAAGAAAAAGAAAAAUCCAACAUAACGGUGGCUUGAGCAAGAAAGAGGUUUAUUCUUCUUUCACACAAAAGCGGUCUGAAAGACAGGCAGUCCAGAGCUACUAUGGCAGGGUCACAAGGUUAACCUUCCCUUCUCGGGGGGCACACUCAUGACCCAAGAUGGCUGCUGGAGCUCCAACCAUUACAUCUACGUUCAAGGCAGGGGAAAGAUCAAAGGAACCAAGGGGGAUUUACGUCUUCCUCUUUUUGAGUCUUUCUCAUAAGUGUAAACACCACCACUCCCAUGUCUAGCUUACUGAAUAACUGUCACAUGCCCUACAGAGCAUAUGCGUUGCCACGAGAGUGGCAGAGACCUGUCACAGGCGGAGAGAAGAAUGAGACCCCGUCUCCACGCCCAAGGAGUGGAGCGAGACAGCCCAGCCCGAGUCAUCAGACCCUGUGUCAAGUGAUUGUCUUACUCAAAAACAAGUGAGACAGGCAGGUGCUGGAGAGCCCCAGGAAAGACUCUGCCGAGACACCUCCGGGCCGUGGACCUGGAGGAAGGGGCCGCAGGACAAGCAGUCAGUGCGACCCUCUUUGCUUUAUGUUCUGAGGAUAACCAUGGGCCCAGAAGGACACUUCCCAGAAGGGCCAGGUGACCUAGAGGCUCAGGCAUGGGGCAAACACAGGCUCGGCUGGGCGCUCGGCCCUCCAGGCAGCCAAAGUGGGUCUGGGGCUUCCCGAGCUGCUCAGGAGCCUCCAGAAGGGUCCCACCGUUCCUUGUCUGGGAGAAAGCCUGCUUUUCUGCUGGGGGAACUGCUCCCUUCCCUGUGCUGCCAACGAACUCGCCCUUAGUCAAGCAGAUUCGGCAGAUGUGGACCUGCCUCGGGCGACGGUCACAGCGGGGGAAGUCAGGAGCAGAGCUGCUCGGCUGCGGCUGCGAGGUGAUGGCCGUCACCUUCCCUGACAUCCCAGAGGGAUGCUGAGCCCAGUGCCGGACACUGAGGAUGGGCUUCCGGGCGCCCGAGACACCUGGGAGUCCCCCGGGGCUCUGCGAACCCCUCUGGGCCCCUCUGCCUGCCAGGUCAGGCCCGGCCUCGACCUGCACCGCUCCUGUGUCCCCGCCCCACUGGCCGGCCACCUCCCCCCGUAAGGCCCGUUCUUGUCCGGAGCAGCCUUCCCGCACGUCGACGUCGGAUCCUCUGACACCAUCUCAAGUUACUCCUUCAUGUUUUAUCAC